UAGAUGUAUGCGGAAGUUAUCUUCAUGCAUCAUUUUUCUCCCCAUUAGCUCUAAAAAUAAGGGAGAUACAGGUGUUGUGGGUUCUGUUAAUGGUAUCACCUUAAAACUAGUGGAAAGAAUCCUUGCCAAUGGGAAAUCGGAGGUAUUGCAAGAGAAAAGUUUAGCAGCUGUAAGCCUAAUAACCAGAAGAAAGCACCUAAGCAGGCACUCAGCUGGCAAGCAAUCAGACAUCUCUGUGGGUGAUGAGAAAUGUUCAGCUUCGGCUGCAUCUGUUCUGCAGUGGACUGAAAUAUUCCAAAGGGACUGCAUGCUUACCUGUUGCAAUUAUCACUGGAGGAGAGAGGGAGGACAAAUGGAACUGAAUCUGGAGUAAAACCAAGGGAAAUUCUCACAUUAAAGAUUCACCGAUGAAUCUGCAGACUUUAUGCAAAUCCAGUGGGUAUUUUGUGCAAGUAUUAAUGAGUGUCACAUCCUGAUUACUGCAUACUUCCCCUUAUGUUUCCAGCUGUAACAAAUCCAACUGAAACCACUAAAAUUAACAACAGAAGUCCACAACAGUUUGUCAGAAAAAUGUAUGAAAAUUAUUUUUAACAUGUUUUACCCUAAUUAUUCUUUGAAACAUAUCAAGGUGUUAAUUUCAGAUAUCCUAUAUGCGUUCCCUAAUGGAUGACAAAUUUUAUGUUCGUUCCCUUAAAUCUGAUAAAAUUUACAUUGGUCCCCUUAAAUCCCUCUAAAGUACCAUCUCCUGGACUGAGGUGUUUUUUGCAUCUCAGUGCAGGCGAAGCCUUGUAAGCUAACUGUCCUGGCACUGCGUCUCCUAUUAGAAAUCUGCUUCUUUACAAACAGCUGUUGUGAGCAACCCUUUUUGCCAUGGCAUGUACUGGUCCUUUUGCUUUGCAUGAGCUGUGGCCUGUGACAUAUAAAUUGACUCCAGAUACAUCGAUUUAUUUGCUCUCAAAAAUAGCAAAGAAUGCAAAGUAAAAAAUAAUUCCUAAAAAGCCAUAAAAAAAAAAGUUAAUUAGUAUGUUUCUGUUUACUGAAGUAUUCUGUUCAAGGUUUUAUAUAUUAAAACAGAGCUAACUUGCCUGUCUCCCUGUGACCUUUUUGUUGCAUGGGCAGCCUCCUCUAGUCUGCCUCGCAGCCCUUAUGGGUUUUGAAUUUGUGAGGUGAUUUCAUGUUCCCUUUCCUCUCUUUUCACUUGGUCUUGCAAAGGCAUUCCAUCUUUAGAACUGGUCUAGGAAAGCCGUUGAAGGUAUUGUCAAUGUACAAAUAUGGGGAGAGAAAUGUUUUCAUGGCUCUGAUAUGAAGACAUCUAAAUAUGAUAGCAGACUGGGAGUUGCAUAUCUUUUGUUUAGCCUGUCUUUAUCUGCCAGCUUACUGUAUGCUGUGAAUAUAAUUCUGAAUGCCUGCAUAUAUGACAAGUCAUAACCAUAAUGAGCCUGUUUAUUUCAAGAUACGUAGCAUCAUUCAUUUGCACAUUAAAGGAAACUUUGCUGGAAGAAGACAAAUUUGAGCCUACAAAAGCUUUGUGAUGAUUGUAAUGCUAAUCUGUAUUCAAUCCUGUAUAUGAAGUGUCACAUCUCGAAUACUUUAAAAAAUUAAUUAGUCAACUGUGUUGUGGCACAGAUGAGCAGAAGCAAGUGGUUGCUUGCAUCCUCAAGCUGUGACAGUCCAAGUGCCAGCAGGGCUGGAAAGCAGAGCAGACCCAUGUUAAUGGGCUGGAGGUGCCACCCUCAUACCUGACUGCGCCCAUCAGGCUGUGGCAUUGGUGUGAUGGUGUUACGUUAAAUGAGAGCAGUUUGUUUAAAGUCUGGCGAGGAGCAAUCCUCACAUUCCUUUACAGCUGGUAUUUGUAAGGGUAUUCAACUCUUCAUAUGUAUUUUAGCAAGAAGUGGGUAUAUGCAUGCAUAUAAUGUUUGUGACAAAAAUAUCACUGGAACGUUCUGCAAUCUGGAGAGCAACUGUAAAUGUAAAUAGGUUGAGUAAAAGUAAGUACAACACUUUAUUUUGCCAUUAGCUAAGAAUGAGAUAUGCAUUUACACACUUUCUUAACAGAAUUGUAUCACCAUAUGCCCCACAGAAAAAAGGUUUUUGCUUUUUUUUUUUUUUCUCCUCUCUGUUUUGCCAGAAGUUUCCUAGAAAACUCUAAGUAACUUAAGUAACUUUUUUUUUUCUUUUUUUUUUCUUUUAAUUUUUUUUCCCCCUCCUCACUCCCUCAGGUAAUGGCCUGUAAGUAAGUACAGGCAACACAGCCUCAUACCUGUCUCAUGUAGGCCCAUGCUCACCAUAGUUUUGUCUGAAAGUCAAUGCAGAGCUAAAGGUCUGAAUUCAGGUCCCUCUGCCUACGUGUUCUUCCGGAUACAAAAGGCAGAGGCCUUGACUGCCCCGUGGUGACUCCCAGAUGUGGGUCUGGAGAAUGUCAAUUUUUGACGGGGCUUGAAAAAAAAAUAAAAUAUUAUCCUGGAUCUGAUGCAUCUGCAAGAACUUUACUUCAUUUUAGGACUUUGGAUAAGUAAUUAUUUUUUGAAUAUAUCCUGUUAAUCUGAAUGUGAAGUUAUCAAUAGUAUGAAUGCUUGCAGGAUGAGACCUCUGCAGAACAUUUUAAAUUCUGCAUAGUAGAGCAAAGCCUUGUGUUUUACAGUUGCAUUUUUUUGAUACUUCAGUUUUAAAAAUCCUUACCAUUGAUAUAUGGUCCCCAAAAGAUUAUGUUUAGCAACAGUCUAGCAUGAAUCCUCAGAUUUAGUUUUCCUUGACCUGUGCUUGCAUUGUUAGGGUUGUGACAUAUGAUUGAUGUUGUUUCUUGUUGGUCAUCUCCCUCACACUCGCACACUGUAAACGUUUAAAAAUAAAACUACAACAUGUUUAUCAUAAAUUGCGUGAUGAUUUCCAUCAUGCAUGAUUUCCAUCUGAAUAUGCUUCAUUAGGCUCACCUUUUGUAAUACAACUGGAUCAUUAGAUGGCAUGUAGAAAGAAAUCAUUUCUGCAGUAAUCUGUCAGGCAGGGAGAGCCCCCAUGUGUUUGAUGCAUAAAUGCAGAACAGAUUAAGCCACAUUUCACUAUCCAAUAUAAAAAAUAUCUUUGAAACUGUACAGGUGCAGGAUUGCCUUAUACUCAAGAUACUACUUCUGAAUUUUACCAGUCUUCAUUCUCCUUCAAUGGUUACAUUGCUUUUUAAUAGUUCCCAUACCACAGGAACUUAGUUCAAGAAAUGGAGAAUACACAAAGCACACUGAAGAUUUUCACCUAGAAGCCUUCUAGUGUGACACAAAUAUGUUUGGAUCAGUUUUUUAAAAAAUCAAACAAGCCACACCAUUCACUAGAAGACACUUAUGUUU